GAUGAACGCUGGCGGCGUGCUUAACACAUGCGAGUCGAACGGAAAGGCCCAAGCUUGCUUGGGUACUCGAGUGGCGAACGGGUGAGUAACACGUGGGUGAUCUGCCCUGCACUUCGGGAUAAGCCUGGGAAACUGGGUCUAAUACCGGAUAGGACGAUGGUUUGGAUGCCAUUGUGGAAAGUUUUUUCGGGGUGGGAUGAGCUCGCGGCCUAUCAGCUUGUUGGUGGGGUAAUGGCCUACCAAGGCGUCGACGGGUAGCCGGCCUGAGAGGGUGUACGGCCACAUUGGGAAUGAGAUACCGCCCAGGCUCCUACGGGGGGCAGCAGUGGGGAAUAUUGCACAAUGGGCGCAAGCCUGAUGCAGCGACGCCGCGUGGGGGAUGACGGCCUUCGGGUUGUAAACUCCUUUCGCUAGGGACGGAGCGUUUUUGUGACGGUACCUGGAGAAGAAGCACCGGCUAACUACGUG
rnacentral:rRNA from 1 species